AAUGAACGUUGGCGGCGUGGAUUAGGCAUGCAAGUCGAGCGAGAACCGUAGCAAUACGGGGACAGCGGCGCAAGGGACAGUAAUGUGUAGAUCAUCUGCCCUCAGGUCCGGGAUAGCUGCGGGAAACUGCAGGUAAUACCGGAUAACAUCUCCGGAUCAAAGGUGUGAUUCCGCCUGAGGAUGAGUCUGCAUCCUAUUAGCUAGUUGGUAGGGUAAUGGCCUACCAAGGCUUUGAUGGGUAGCGGGUGUGAGAGCACGACCCGCGUCAUUGGGACUGAGAGACUGCCCAGACACCUACGGGUGGCUGCAGUCGAGAAUCUUCGGCAAUGGGCGCAAGCCUGACCGAGCGACGCCGCGUGUGGGAUGAAGGCCUUCGGGUUGUAAACCACUGUCAGAGGGGAUGAAAUGCAGGUGGGUUCUCCCAUCUGUUUGACAUAGCCUCAGAGGAAGGACGGGCUAAGUUCGUGCCAGCAGCCGCAGUAAGAC
rnacentral:rRNA from 1 species